UAAUACGAAGGGUGCAAGCGUUACUCGGAAUUACUGGGCGUAAAGCGUGCGUAGGUGGUGGUUUAAGUCUGUUGUGAAAGCCCUGGGCUCAACCUGGGAAUUGCAGUGGAUACUGGAUCACUAGAGUGUGGUAGAGGGAUGCGGAAUUUCCGGUGUAGCAGUGAAAUGCGUAGAGAUCGGAAGGAACAUCUGUGGCGAAGGCGGCAUCCUGGGCCAACACUGACACUGAGGCACGAAAGCGUGGGGAGCAAACAGGAUUAGAUACCCUGGUAGUCCACGCCCUAAACGAUGCGAACUGGAUGUUGGGUUCAACUUGGAACCCAGUAUCGAAGCUAACGCGUUAAGUUCGCCGCCUGGGGAGUACGGUCGCAAGACUG
rnacentral:rRNA from 1 species